GCUUUGACCAUCAGGCAGCUCUAAGUCUGUCUAAAGUCAGAUGGAUGGAGGGGGCUGUGGGAGUUUGGGCUUACUCAGUAAUUAGGGCAGGUCAUCUUCCUGGGAUGAUUUCCAAAAGGAAGUAGAUGAAGUCCUCAAGGACAUAAUCUCAUGAAAUCCCAAAAGGCUCUGGUAGAAUUAUGAAUGGGAAGAUGACAAGUGCAAAUGACGCUCUUAUCAAAAACAAAAUGAAGGCAUAGCAAUGGAUGCAGAACCUCUGAAACAUUGUGCCAGUUUUGGUAAUGUAUGCACCAAACUAAUCAUCAGCAUAUAUUCCUAGAAAGUAAUCUUCCAAGUUCAUGAACUCAUGGAGCUUUCCUGUCUUUCAAAUGCAACUUUGUGGAGGUCCUCUCUUGAAAUACCUCUUCAACCAAUUAGAGGGAAAAGACUCUCCAUCUCCCAUGUCCUUUAGUCUGUUUGUUAGGGGAAGAUCUUUGACCUGAAGCAAGCAACCUGACCAAUUGCAGGAUGUAAUAGUGUCUGUGCAACUCUCAGAUGCAUGAUGAACAGCCCUGACGAAGACAUUGAGGUCCCACUGUUGUGUGUCACGGAGGAUGCUGAAAGGAUGAUCACAAACCUACGAGUUUAGAGGAAAGCAUAUAUAUAAAUAGAGUCAAUAGAGGGCACUCCUUCCAUGUGCAAUAAUCUCAGGAAUUUCUCAGUCUCCUCAACUCACAGAGAUGCCUUAUUUUAAAGUUCUUUAUAUGUGUAGGCUCUUUUCUAAAACAAAAUAGCCUAUUGUAUAUUUUUUAAAAAGAAAAAAGAAAAGAAGGAAAAUAUUUCUAUCAAUUUUAAAAUAAUUCCACAAAGUGAACAGAUGUGGGAUAUACUGAAAAGUAUGUUAAACUUCCAAUUAAUUUUCUUCAAGCCCAGGCUCAAAAACUUACUAAAUAUAUGUCCAUGGGAAAAAUGACUUAACCUAAAUCUCAGUUUAAUACUACCACCAACCUAUGACAUUCUGCUCCUGAGGUGAAGAAAUUUGUAAGUCUUAGUGCUAUCAAGUUGGACUCAUUCCAUAUAUGAAUUACAUUGUUGCCCAUUCCCAGUUUCAGGGACAAGUAUAUAAAGGUAUACCAUAUUUAUCUGGAUCAACAUGGAAUGAAAUAUUCCAGAUAAGAUAUGUUUUCC
rnacentral:lncRNA from 1 species